rnacentral:lncRNA from 1 species
AGAGCUGACAGAACCCCAUACCGGAAGGGAAAUGAGCCAGGGAGAGAGGUGAUGAAAAGUGAAGCAGCUAAGGCUUACAAAGGUCCAGAGCAGCUUCACGGCCACACCGAGGCGCUGGAAGCCCUGGACUUGCCCCUCAUGGUGCACCACCUGCCGAUGAUGCUCAGCCAGGACCACCUGGUGGACAUCACCAAUGCCCAGUCGAAGAUUCCGGUCUCUGGGGCCAAGGCAAAGGGCAUCCUCUACACGUAGUCAUCCAGAGGUGCCCCCUUUCAGAGGUAUGCGGGAAGUGUGGGGGGAUGGGCACAGGAAGAGAACCUCAGAUGGAAACAGUCCCGGUUUCCAUUUGUGUCUGUGGUUAAAUGACUGCAGUAACAAGAAGAAUCAGCUUUCAAAGCCUGGAGCAGAAGGCUUUGAGGCUGGGCAGCAAGCCAGCAUUUCGGCUUUUAGCUCAGUCCAGACAAUUUAUCCAACACAAUCUCCUGAAUUGUCCUCUCCUCAUCCUGCUGUAUUUGAAACACUUGACAGUUAUAGUGGUCUAGGUCUACAGUGAUUUGACGCUGUGUUCCAGCUUCUCCCUCUGCUGCCUCCAUCAUUACAGAUGAAUAAAGGCAUUUAGUCUCACUGCAAAGUUAUUCAUCCAAUUCUCUGCAGAAGCCCUCCACCCCCUUAAUUGGCUUUUCUUGUCUGGUUGCCAAUGGCUACAUCCACUCACUUCCCCCACAGCAAGCCUCUCUCCAGGAUGGAAAGCUGCUCUGGGAGUUUUGCUGUUUCGCAGGGAUGUGUUUGAAUUCCCGAGGACAAAAUCAGCAGCCCCUACCCUGCUCAGCCGGCUCCCUGACCUUUGAGCCUGGGAUUAGUGGAGAAGCUGAAGUCCCUGUGAGUUAGGAAAUGGGAAGUAAGCUGCCCUCCCUUCUUCCUGAUCUACUGGCCCAUUGGCUGUCAGGCCAGCCAGUGCUUCUUUGAUUAAAUAACAAAGCAUUCUGUUCUCACAGCACUGGGCCAAAUAACAUUUAAAAACAACUGGAAACAGGUUUCCUAACAACUGCUUUUUAAUCUUUUCCCUUUGGACCUGUCUUUUGCCCCUUGUUUCAUGGAUGAGAAGACUCCAUUCUUGCUUUUUCUCGGGUGGAACCUUCAGGAGGUCGUCCUGCAGCUUCAGGAUGGGCAGCAGAUUGCAGUGUUCAUGCACAGCAAGGAGAAGAAAUGAGCAGAAGGCUGUGCCCGCCCUCCCAGCCAUCGUGAACCGGUUCUCGGUGGCUGCUGGCCUGAGGUGGUUCCCGUGUCCUGCUGACAUGACUACCACAGAUGCUGCUGUGCUUCUUUUAAUUCAGAGAGAAAUUUACAGUAAAGGUUUAUAUUUAUUUAAAAGUGCUCCUUACAAAAAAAGCAAAGCACAAGGUAAAAUAGCCCCGUAUUAAUAGUAAAAUGUUGGUGGAUUUCUGCUAGUUCUCACCUCUUUUCUUCUCCUCCUCUCCUCAUCCCCUCCCAUGGCUUUCAGCUCCAUGAAUAAGGCCGAGGUUCAGCCUAUGCCACAGUGCACGCCUGUAAGCCCAGCUACUUGGGAGGCUGAGGCAGGAGGAUAGAAAGUUUGAGGCCAGCCUGGGCAAUUCAGUGAGAUCCAGCCUCAAAAAACAAAACAAAGCCCAAGCAAAAAACCAAGAUAUUAAAAAGGGUGGAGGGCUUGGAAUGUAGUGCUGAGGGUCACCAGCACCAUCAGGGCUUUGAAGUUUGCGGAUGUCAGAAUGCUGAGAAAGACCAGCCCUUUUCAUUUGCGUGGCUUCUGUGGAUCCCUGUGAAGUAGCUUGUGGGAAUUCUCAGUCACUUUGGAGUAUUUUGUUUGUUUUAUUGUUCAUAUUUCUAUUUUAGUCACAACUGUCUGCCCUACUAACGAUUUACAAAAUAAUUGCCUUUAUCCCAAACAUUCUGAAAGCUUAAAAACUUACGUAAGUACAUAUAUAUGUCUCAAACAAAUGUGGGGAAGUUAAAGCUAAUGGUCCUUGUCCCUGUGCUUUACAAGCAGCUUAGCUGCAUAUGGUGUUAGAGAAUCAUUUCCUCAGCUUCUGUUAGUCUUAGGAGAAACAAGCUGAGGGUGGUGGUGCACACCUGUGACCCCAGCACUCUGGGAGCCUGCGGCACAAGGAUGGCAAGUUCAAGGCCAGUCUGGGCAACUUAUUGAGAACUUUAAUAAAUAAGUAGAUAAAUAAAUAAAUGCAAAAUAAAUAAGGACUGGGGAUGUAACUCAGUGUGAAGGCCCUAGGUUCAGUCCCCAGUUCCUAAGGGUGAGUCGGUGGGGCACCUUCUUUCUGAGCACCAGAGCCUACAAACCAGAAAGCUUUGAUUUGAAAAGGCCAGUUUAGCCCUCUUAAUAUUACUUGGCUUAGCGCAACUGUAAUUGUCCACAAUGAGGGACAUUUUUGGAAAGCUUUUAAAAAUAUUUAUGUAUUUAUUUAUUUUGAGACAGGGUCUACGUAGUUCAUUCAGACUGGCCUUGAACUCGCUGUGUAGCCCAGGGUGGCCUCAAACUCGAGGCAAUCCUUCUGCCUCAGCCUCCCAAGUGCUAGGAUUACAGGUGUGCACCACGCCCAGCGCCUUCUUUUUAAACAGUGGCAACAUUUCACAUUUAGUAAAGGUAGGAAAAAAACCCCAGAAGGCUAUUGAAUAAACGAGCUUUGCAGAGGGAUGUAGGCCAAGUAAAAGUACAAAAAAGGGAAGGAAAAAUAAAAAUACAUCCUACAGUGUAGGGUGGCUACUGUGAAGAGACACCAUAGCCUGGAAAGAAGCUUCUCAGGGGAAAACAAAAAAGCACUGUUGGCAUACAAGGCCUUUAAUUGUAGCUGUUCUGGAGAGGGGUUUGUGUCUUUGUGUGUGCAUGUGUGUGUGUGUGUGUGUGUGCGCGCGCGCAUGCGUGUGGCACUGGGGAUUGAACCCAGGGCCUACUGAGCCCAGUCCUAUUAAUUUUUUUUUAGACUUUGAGACAGGAUCUCAGUAAGUUGCUUGGGUUGGCCUCAAACUUGUGAUUGUCCUGCCUCAGCUUCCCAAGGAGCUAGGAUUACAGAUGUGCCUCAUCACACCUGGCUGGAGUGUGUCUUUGAAAAUAUAUCUCUAUGUUCUUUGGUUAUACAGUGAUAAUCUCUUUCNNNNNNNNNNNNNNNNNNACUUUUGCUGGUGUGUUUAUUAUUCAGUAUAAAUGGCUAACGCUGUCACAGUUUUGUGCCGCUUGUCUGAGAAUUCUAUUCCAUUCUAUUGUGUAUGUCAGUCUAUUGCUUCAUCCAACUCUUCUCAGACAACUUUUACUUCCUUCCAUUGUAGAGUUUUUGUUUCUUUGCUAUGGCCAAAUCAUAAAAAAAGGGCCUGGAUGGAUCUCCCUUUCUUAAGGAAGCUGGUUUCCUUUGGGUAGGAUUUAAAUCAAUGAAGAGGCUUUUCUAACUCAGCUGACAGUAAGCAGUAUUAUUUUGUAAAAGAAAAGCUCCUUGAUUCCUACUUCAGAGCUCCCAUCUUGGGUAUUUUUUCUGGUUAUGUUUACUUCCAUAUCAGCACUUAGUGUCUUCACCGGUGAUUCUGACCAAGCGAUGCCUGUCACUGGCACCCGCUGUGUCUUUCCCGCUGACAACCACGAUGUGUGUUUGCAGCCAAUGGACCCUCAUCCACUGCCUCACUGAUGUCUUAGAUAAUGCAUAUUGUCACCAGAGAAAAAAGUGACCUUUGAACAAGCGCCCCCAGCGCAUCCCAUAGACAGGACUCCCGGAGAAGGAAGCAAGGGGUUCUAAAGACUGCAGGGGGAGUGGGACUGUUUCCCUGAGCAGAGCCACCCGGCCUCCACCAAGUAACACCGCACUGCAGGGCAAGGCCUAGCAGGGUGUUAAAGGAUGUGGGAGAGACCAGGGUGUCUCGUCUGGAGGGGUGGUGUCCUCUGAGGCCUGGAGUCUAAGCCGGUGCUAAGCAGUUGGGUGUAGAGUGACGGUGAGCUGCCCAGGAGGUCCGGAGGGCCCUGAAGAGAGGCGAUGGCCGGUGUGGACGCCACCGACAGAGUUCUACAUGCAGUUUGGGGCUUCCACCAGACUUGGAGUAAGUAUCGAUUCUGCUGUUAUGGGGUUUCAGAGCCUGGGCUGAGCGCGUCUGGAAAGACCGUUUUUCUAGACGUGGCCCUCUCCAGCCUCCAGCGUUCCGUUUGCCAGUCCUGGGACUCGAGAGCACCUACGUAAGUCGAGGUUUUAUUACUCCCAGGUUUGGUAACUUGCAUCCCGAUGACGAAGCUGGAAUAAAUUGCACGGAACACGAAACAGCUGGAUCUUGACACUUGGCGUCUCCCGCCCCCAGGAACGGGAAGAAAGGUGCUGAAGUGGCAGGGGCUCCCGAGGGGGCUUCGGAAGCAAGCAGCUGUGCAAGUGGCCUUGGGCUGCUGGACUACCGGUUUUCAGUUAGUACAAAAAGUGCAGGUAAGUAUUCACCGGCCACCUGCCUCACAAGGUGAGGCAGCGUUUAUGCUGCCUGUUGGGAUGCUUGGGGCCCAGAUGCUGUGAGUUUCCACCCUUACCACUUCACAAAGGGGAAGACCUC